rnacentral:rRNA from 1 species
UACGUAGGAUCCAAGCGUUGUCCGGAUUUACUGGGUGUAAAGGGUGCGCAGGCGGACUUAUAAGUCAGAGGUGAAAUCUCGCUGCUUAACAGCGAAACUGCCUUUGAUACUGUAGGUCUUGAAUUAGGGAGAGAUUCGUGGAAUUCCGAGUGUAGCAGUGAAAUGUGUAGAUAUUCGGAAGAACACCAGAGGCGAAGGCAGCGAAUUGGCCCUAUAUUGACGCUCAGGCACGAAAGCAUGGGGAUCAAACAGG